rnacentral:rRNA from 1 species
GAUGAACGCUGGCGGCGUGCCUAAUACAUGCCAGUCGAGCGAACAGACGAGGAGCUUGCUCCGCUCACGUUAGCGGCGGACGGGUGAGUAACACGUGUAUACCCUACCUAUCUGUCUGGGAUCACCUCGGGAAACCGGAGCUAAUACCGUAUAACAUCCUGAAGCGCAUGGUGCAACAGUGAAAGUCGGUCUUGGUGUAACUUAUAGAGGGAUCCGCGCCGCAUUAGCUAGUUGGUACGGUCACGGCCUACCACGGCGACGAUGCGUAGCCGAGCUGAGAGGGUGAUCGGCCACCCGGGAGCUGGGACACGGUCCAGGCUCCUACGGGAGGCAGCAGUAGGGAAUCGUCCGCAGUGGGCGAAAUCCUUGCGGAGCGACGCCGCGUGAGUGAAGAAGGUCUUCGGAUCGUAAAACUCUGUUAUUAGGGAAGAACAAAUGUGUAAGGAACUGUGCACGUCUUGACGGUACCUAGUCAGAAAGCCACGGCUAACUACGUG